AGUGAACGCUGGCGGUAGGCCUAACACAUGCCAGUCGAACGGCAGCACAGUAAGAGCUUGCUCUUACGGGUGGCGAGUGGCGGACGGGUGAGGAAUACAUCGGAAUCUACUUUUUCGUGGGGGAUAACGUAGGGAAACUUACGCUAAUACCGCAUACGACCUACGGGUGAAAGCAGGGGAUCUUCGGACCUUGCGCGAUUGAAUGAGCCGAUGUCGGAUUAGCUAGUUGGCGGGGUAAAGGCCCACCAAGGCGACGAUCCGUAGCUGGUCUGAGAGGAUGAUCAGCCACACUGGAACUGAGACAUGGUCCAGACUCCUACGGGAGGCAGCAGUGGGGAAUAUUGGACAAUGGGCGCAAGCCUGAUCCAGCCAUACCGCGUGGGUGAAGAAGGCCUUCGGGUUGUAAAGCCCUUUUGUUGGGAAAGAAAAGCAGCAGGUUAAUACCCCGCUGUUCUGACGGUACCCAAAGAAUAAGCACCGGCUAACUUCGUG
rnacentral:rRNA from 1 species